AUCACAAGGGAGAAACAGACUGGAGUUGGAACACAAUCCCAGGGGGCAAACCUGGAAAAUGGCUCAGCUGCCACUUCGAGGAGUGACCAGCGUGCGAUUCAACCAGGAUCAAAGCUGCUUUUGCUGUGCCAUGGAGACAGGUGCACACAUCUACAAUGUGGAGCCAUUGAUGGAAAAGGGACAUCUGAGUGAGCCUUUGUGCUGAUCUGGGAUGAUGUCCGGGAGGGCAAGGACUCCAAAGACAAGCCCGUAGUAGAGUUCACCUUUACCAAGCCCAUGCUGGCUGUGCACAUGCGCAUGACAAGCUCGUGCUCGCGCUGAGGAACCGCAUCUAUGUGUACUCCUUCCCCAACAACCCACGAAAGCUGUUUGAAUUUGACACCCAGGACAACCUCAAGGGGCUCUGCAACCUCUGCCCCAGCCUCCAGAAACAGCUGCUCGUGUUCCCAGCAAACAAGUGUGGCAGCCUACAACUUGUGGACCCAGCAAGCACAAAGCCUGGCACAUCAUCAGCUCCUUUCACCAUUAAUGCACAUCAGUGAUGUGGCUUGCGUGUCAUUGAACCAGCUAGGGAACGUGGUGGCCUCAACCUCCCAGAAAGGCACCCUCAUUCUCCUUUUUGACACCCAGUCCAAGGAGAAACUGGUAGAGCCGUGACAAGGCACGGACCCUGCCACCCUUUACUGCAUUAACUUCAGCCACGACUUGUCCUUCCUGUGCGCUUCCAGCGAUAAGGGCCCAGUUCAUACAUUUGCUCUCAAGGACACUCCUCUCAACCGCCGCUCUGCAUGAUACUGUAGCAGGCUGGCUCACGUGGGCAAAGUACGGCCUAUGAUUGGACAGUCCGGGGAUUCCCAGUGGAGCCUGGUGAGCUUCACCGUGCCUGCAUCUGUGCUUUCAAGAGUGUAAACUCCGUCUCUGCCAUUUGUGUCGGUGGGACCUUCCACAAACACGUCUUCACCCAAGAUGGAAACUGCAAUUGAGAGGCUUUCGAUGUGUACCUUGAUAUUUGUGAUGAUGAUGACUUCUAAGGACCCUGGAAGCAGGAUUAGGGACCUGUCAUGGCAGGCUGCCAGUGGAACCUUGGUGCGGGUGUGGGGGGAGGGU